CGGGGAGUAGUAUACCGGCAGUACACGCGCAUGGGGUGCGCGUAGAGGGAGUUCAAUUCUCCCCUCCCCGA
rnacentral:tRNA from 2 species